AAAAAAUGACACCGUAACUUCGGGAGAAGGUGUGCCCUCUGUACGUGAAGCCCCUUGCGGGUGGAGCGGAAGAGGGUUGCAGAGAAACGGGGGUAGCGACUGUUUACCAAAAACCCAGCACUGUGCGAAGUCGGAAGACGACGUAUACGGUGUGAUGCCUGCCCGGUGCCGGAAGGUUAAGGGGAGUUGUCAGCCGCAAGGCAAAGCAGCGAACCGAAGCCCCGGUAAACGGCGGCCGUAACGAUAACGGUCCUAAGGUAGCGAAAUUCCUUGUCGGGUAAGUUCCGACCUGCACGAAUGGCAUAACGACUUCCCCACUGUCUCGAGCAGGGACUCAGCGAAGUAGCACUAGGGGUGAAGAUACCUUUUACCCGCGGCAGGACGGAAAGACCCCGUGAACCUUUACUGUAACUUGGCACUGAACUUCGGGUUCGUUUGCGUAGGAUAGGUGGGACGCUAGGAAGCAUGGACUCCGGUCUGUGUGGAGCGGCCGUUGAAAUACCACCCUGGCGAAUCUGGAGUUCUAACCUGCACCCGUGAGCCGGGUGGGGGACAAUGCCUGGUGGGCAGUUUGACUGGGGCGGUCGCCUCCCAAAGAGUAACGGAGGCGCGCGAAGGUUCCCUCAGGCUGAUUGGAAACCAGCCGACGAGUGUAAUGGCAUAAGGGAGCUUGACUGCGAGACUGACAAGUCGAGCAGGUGCGAAAGCAGGUCAUAGUGAUCCGGUGGUUCUGAAUGGAAGGGCCAUCGCUCAACGGAUAAAAGGUACUCCGGGGAUAACAGGCUUAUCACGCCCAAGAGUUCACAUCGACGGCGUGGUUUGGCACCUCGAUGUCGGCUCAUCGCAUCCUGGGGCUGAAGUUGGUCCCAAGGGUUUGGCUGUUCGCCAAUUAAAGCGGUACGCGAGCUGGGUUCAAAACGUCGUGAGACAGUUUGGUCCCUAUCCGCCGUGGGCGCAGGACGCUUGAGAGGAUCUGUCCUUAGUACGAGAGGACCGGGAUGGACGGACCGCUAGUGUUCCGGUUGUGGCGCCAGCUGCAAUGCCGGGUAGCUAUGUUCGGAAGGGAUAACCGCUGAAAGCAUCUAAGCGGGAAGCCCACCUCGAGAUAAGGCGUCCCUGAGACUUCGGUCUCCUGAAGACCCCAUGUAGACCACGUGGUUGAUAGGCUGGGUGUGGAAGCGCUGCAAGGCGCGGAGCUAACCAGUACUAAUCGGUCGUGAGGCUUGACCAC
rnacentral:rRNA from 1 species